rnacentral:rRNA from 1 species
ACGAACGCUGGCGGCGUGCCUAAUACAUGCAAGUCGAACGCUUCUUUUUCCACCGGAGCUUGCUCCACCGGAAAAAGAGGAGUGGCGAACGGGUGAGUAACACGUGGGUAACCUGCCCAUCAGAAGGGGAUAACACUUGGAAACAGGUGCUAAUACCGUAUAACAAUCGAAACCGCAUGGUUUUGAUUUGAAAGGCGCUUUCGGGUGUCGCUGAUGGAUGGACCCGCGGUGCAUUAGCUAGUUGGUGAGGUAACGGCUCACCAAGGCGACGAUGCAUAGCCGACCUGAGAGGGUGAUCGGCCACAUUGGGACUGAGACACGGCCCAAACUCCUACGGGAGGCAGCAGUAGGGAAUCUUCGGCAAUGGACGAAAGUCUGACCGAGCAACGCCGCGUGAGUGAAGAAGGUUUUCGGAUCGUAAAACUCUGUUGUUAGAGAAGAACAAGGAUGAGAGUAACUGUUCAUCCCUUGACGGUAUCUAACCAGAAAGCCACGGCUAACUACGUGCCAGCAGCCGCGGUAAUACGUAGGUGGCAAGCGUUGUCCGGAUUUAUUGGGCGUAAAGCGAGCGCAGGCGGUUUCUUAAGUCUGAUGUGAAAGCCCCCGGCUCAACCGGGGAGGGUCAUUGGAAACUGGGAGACUUGAGUGCAGAAGAGGAGAGUGGAAUUCCAUGUGUAGCGGUGAAAUGCGUAGAUAUAUGGAGGAACACCAGUGGCGAAGGCGGCUCUCUGGUCUGUAACUGACGCUGAGGCUCGAAAGCGUGGGGAGCAAACAGGAUUAGAUACCCUGGUAGUCCACGCCGUAAACGAUGAGUGCUAAGUGUUGGAGGGUUUCCGCCCUUCAGUGCUGCAGCUAACGCAUUAAGCACUCCGCCUGGGGAGUACGACCGCAAGGUUGAAACUCAAAGGAAUUGACGGGGGCCCGCACAAGCGGUGGAGCAUGUGGUUUAAUUCGAAGCAACGCGAAGAACCUUACCAGGUCUUGACAUCCUUUGACCACUCUAGAGAUAGAGCUUCCCCUUCGGGGGCAAAGUGACAGGUGGUGCAUGGUUGUCGUCAGCUCGUGUCGUGAGAUGUUGGGUUAUGUCCCGCAACGAGCGCAACCCUUAUUGUUAGUUGCCAUCAUUUAGUUGGGCACUCUAGCAAGACUGCCGGUGACAAACCGGAGGAAGGUGGGGAUGACGUCAAAUCAUCAUGCCCCUUAUGACCUGGGCUACACACGUGCUACAAUGGGAAGUACAACGAGUCGCAAAGUCGCGAGGCUAAGCUAAUCUCUUAAAGCUUCUCUCAGUUCGGAUUGUAGGCUGCAACUCGCCUACAUGAAGCCGGAAUCGCUAGUAAUCGCGGAUCAGCACGCCGCGGUGAAUACGUUCCCGGGCCUUGUACACACCGCCCGUCACACCACGAGAGUUUGUAACACCCGAAGUCGGUGAGGUAACCUUUUGGAGCCAGCCGCCUAAGGUGGGAUAGAUGAUUGGGGUG